CCCAUCCCAGGGGCUCAGGGGCCAUUCCAGGGCCCGUCCCAGGGGCUCAGGGCCCACCCCAGGGGCUCAGGGUGGCCAUGCUCAGGCUCAGGGCCCAUCCCAGUGCUCAGGAGCAGCUCUGACCCCAAUGCCCACAGGUGGUGCCAGGCUACGGGCACGCGGUGCUGCGCAAGACGGACCCGCGCUACACCUGCCAGCGGGAGUUCGCCCUCAAGCACCUGCCCAAGGACCCCCUGUUCAAGCUGGUGGCUCAGCUCUACAAGAUCGUCCCCAACGUGCUCCUGGAGCAGGGCAAGGCCAAGAACCCCUGGCCCAACGUGGAUGCCCACAGCGGGGUCCUGCUGCAGGUGAGCCCUGGGUGCUGUGUGCCUCUGGUUGUGUCUGUGCUGUCUGUCCUUUUCCUGUCAGUCUGUCCUUUUCCUGUCAGUCUGUCCUUUUCCUGUCAGUCUGUCCA
rnacentral:lncRNA from 1 species